ACAGAGGUGCCGAGCGUUAGGCGGAAUCACUGGGCUUAAAGCGUGUGUAGGCGGGUCGUUAAGUGUCUUGUGAAAUCCCACCGCUCACCGGUGGAACGGCUGGGCAUACUGGCGACCUUGAGAGGCCUAGGGGCAGACGGAACAAGCGGUGGAGCGGUGAAAUGCGUAGAUAUCGCUUGGAACGCCGACGGCGAAAGCAGUCUGCUGGGGGCCUUCUGACGCUGAGACACGAAAGCCAGGGGAGCAAACGGGA
rnacentral:rRNA from 1 species